UUUUAGUAUGAAAGGAGAUAAGUUUAGCAAUCCCAUUGGUAAGGAUGGAAGAAGUCUUGGUGGCCUUUACAAUGCAGAUAUGGUUAAGGCAUUGCCACUUAAUUCGUGGCAGCUACUGGGUGGGGGU